rnacentral:lncRNA from 1 species
CUGGCUUCCACAAUUUUCCUCAAAUCUCCAUUUCUCAGUUGUCCUUAUGAUCAAGUGUUUCGGAGAAAAAAUGUGCAUGGAUAGGUCUGCUAGGAAAGGUACAUUUCUGCAGUCAGCACAGCUGAUAAAUUCUGCCUUCGCCUGAUUUGUGUCUCCUCAUUCCCAGAGGGCAUCUCUGGACAGCACCCCCACAAAGGGCAUUAGGGUUGGUUGCUGGGAGCCUGUCAUUGCAUUGAAAGUCACAGAGGGUCAAAUGUGACCCGUGCGUUGUGACAGCUGAGGGUAAUUGCUCAGAAAGCAUGUGUUUCCCUAGCUACAAGAAAUGGAGCAAAACAGUCGGCGCUGGCUGUAGACCUGGUGGUUGCCAGACAGUGGGAUUUUCCUCAUAGAAUCUUUGCAGUUGGAAGGAACCCUUAAAGGCCAUCUGGUCCCACUCCCCUGCAACACCCACAGCUCCUUCAGGUGCUCAGAGACCCUUCCGGCCUGGCCUUGAAUGUCUCCAAGGAUGGGGUUCUACACAUCUCUGGGCACCUCUUGCUGAGGAUCUGCUGGCAAUGAGGUGCCUAGCCGUGCAGCAAAGGUUCUUCCAUGUCAAGUCUGCUUGGAAAGACAAAUCCCAGGCUGUGCCCUACAUGGGACACUUGGUGUUUUCUGUAUGGUUCACCUGAAGUGCUCGGUGAGAAUGCCAGCACGUUUCUCUGUAGGUGAAUCGCCAUGGCUCAGCAUCCACCUGCACAUCUCUGCCUUUCCAGGUCUGUCUGAUUCGUUCCUACGGGGUUUCAAGGAGGCAGGGCAACUUGACAGCACCUUCCUCACCAUGCAGGUGGAAGGCUUCCGUCAGAAAGGGACACAUUUGCAUAGAGACAGAGCUAACAAAGGGCUGGGCAGGGUGUGGCCGAGCAGUUCUAUCGCCACCUGUCAUGCAGCUCUGCAGCACGGCGUUGGAUCAGCCUGCAGCCACGGCUCCGUAUGUGAGAAGGAAGCCGAUAAUUGCUUUGGGCUGCCUGCAGUGCUGCGCUCUCGAGUCACAGGGGAGUUCUCUUCUGGAGUCAAAUGCACUGUUUGGAUAUUGCUGUAGAGCAAAUUACACCGGACUUCUAAGGCCUGUUUGGAAAUGGAUAAAUACAGAGCAGUCACUCAACAGUGCUACAGUGCACUACAGUGCUACCCACUGCAGCACUUGGUGUGGCUGAGACCACUUGUGUUUGCUUCAGCUCCCGUUGCCAUCUCUCAUGGUGUCUUCACUGCUCCAGUGACCUGGAGAAGAAAUGCAAACCAAUGUAGGUGAUAUUUCUGCUAAUCUAACUUAGCAGACAUCUGCAACUGAGGACUUUCCUCA